rnacentral:rRNA from 1 species
GACGAACGCUGGCGGCGUGCUUAACACAUGCAAGUCGAACGGAAAGGCCCUGCUUUUGUGGGGUGCUCGAGUGGCGAACGGGUGAGUAACACGUGAGUAACCUGCCCUUGACUUUGGGAUAACUUCAGGAAACUGGGGCUAAUACCGGGUAGGAGCUCCUGCUGCAUGGUGGGGGUUGGAAAGUUUCGGCGGUUGGGGAUGGACUCGCGGCUUAUCAGCUUGUUGGUGGGGUAGUGGCUUACCAAGGCUUUGACGGGUAGCCGGCCUGAGAGGGUGACCGGCCACAUUGAGACUGAGAUACGGCCCAGACUCCUACGGGAGGCAGCAGUGGGGAAUAUUGCACAAUGGGCGGAAGCCUGAUGCAGCAACGCCGCGUGCGGGAUGACGGCCUUCGGGUUGUAAACCGCUUUCGCCUGUGACGAAGCGUGAGUGACGGUAAUGGGUAAAGAAGCACCGGCUAACUACGUG